UUGAAAAUACAAUAGGCCCAAUAUUUACCUAAUAUUAUUUCUCACUCAAACUAUGCACACAAGACUAUACAUGUGAACAAGGAUUGUCGUUUUAAGAACUUUCGUCAAAGUUACCAAAAAUGAACUCUUGCAUCAAAAGCCUAAAUGAAAAACAAAUUAAAUCCAGCCAAGUCUAGUAAUGGAAGUUUGUAAUAAAAUAAAAUAUUAAAGUGAUUAAUUGUAUAAGGUGAUUGAGCUUGGCCUUAGAAGUAAGAACCACAAGAAACACCCUACACGAAACUCCACCCUACACGAAACUAACUCUCGGCAACAAAACGUGGAUUAAAGAUCAGUAAACACUUUGUUUAAUCAACAAAAUAAACUAAUUUAAGUAAUGGAGACUUUUCUCUUUCAAGCAGGAACCAGAUUAAUUCUUUAAUUUGUUUUUUCUAAUACUUUGAGUUUGCAUGAAUACCUCCUCCUUUCACACUUGCCGUCGGCAAAGGCAGAAUGGUUAUUUGUUUUUGUUUUUAAUGAAUUUUAAAUACUGGGAUCGGUACUUUUGUUUUACUUUCCCACCCUUUUGUCGGUGUUGAUAUAUUUAGGGUAAAUUACAUUUUAUCUUUAAGUUUAAGUUCAAUUGUAAUUUCAUAUUUCAUCUAUAAAAUAUUACAAUGUUAUAUAAGACUUACCAUUUGGUUACAAUGUCAUACAUCUAUUAUUCAAUCCAUUUAUUUCGCUAUUAAAUGAUGAGUUGACAAAAUAAAACUCAUAUUUUAUAUUGAUGUGGAGGACAACUUCAAUUUUUUUUUAUUUUUUUUUUACAAAAAAACAGAUAAUUGACUAACGAACGUAUGAUAUUGCAACCAAUCUAUAAGUUUGUGUAUAACAUUAUAAUGUUUUAUAUAUGAGGUAUAAGGUUAUAAUUGCACACAAACUUGAAAGUGCAAGUAAUUUAUGUAAAGUUCUGUGAAUGGUAAUGUGUGACAAUUGGUUUACUUGAGAAACAAAUCACUUGAUUAUUCAGUGAUGUGCAAUUCGAGUAAAUUAAGAGUCCUAGUUAGGUAAGAAUUGUGGAGUCUUAAAUCAUUGCAUCUAAUCUAGGAGAAUAAUCUAGAGUUUCAAAUACAAAGAUAUUGCAUCAUGAUAGAACUCAAUCAAGGUGAUAGGGUUGACCUUCGUAGCUGUUAAUAGGCUGACUAAUAAGGAACCCCAAUGGUAUAUAAAUACUAGGUUAAGUCCAUGCUUCCAUAUGUUGAAUUCCUAGAAUUCUAAAACCUAUUCAUAUAGUAUAGUAAUAUUUUGGAGUAUUGGAAGGAAAAGACAACCUUGUGAACUCAUAUUUUGUCAUCCGGAAGAGACAUGUCUUUCCUAUUCUACAGAUAAGUUCAAUAUAAUUAGUUCAUCUCUAUUUUAUAUUGAUUUGAUUUAUUCGUGAUCCCAAUAUCUUUUAUUUUUUGGUAAAACGUGAUCUAAAUGUCUUGUUGUUGUGAUUUCAUAAAAUAUCUUACAAUUUACCCUAUAUUUUAAUUUUUAACUACCUCAGUGAAUAUUAUUCUUCUGUUCGAUAAACUAUAAAUUAGUUUACAUAAAUUUAUCUAUACUAUAAAAAAUGAGAUUUAAAUUUAAAUACUUAAAAAAACACAUUACUCUAACUACCUUAGUUAUGCUCAAAUCUGUUGGCAAUGAAUAUUAUUUCCUCAAGUUAAUCCCCCUUUUUUUUUUCAGACAUAUUGUUGGGGGCCACAAUUGAUAUUUUGGAACUUGAAUGCUUAUUUGCAAUGAAGCAAGGGAUAUUUGUCAAAUAAAAGCUACUUAAUCAUAUAAUCAAUAAUAAUUGGGUUUCCCUUUUUAAUCAUAAUCAUUAAUAAUUGGGUUUCUCUUUUUCUGUUAUUCUUUCAUUUUCUUUUUGACGCUGAUGCCUUCUAUAGUGGAUCAGAAUCUUAGGUUAAGAUGGACCGUACAAGUGUAAUAAGCUGGUACUUGUAUUUUAAGCUAAUAAAAUUUGAUAAUACUUGAUGUCUUUCAGAAGAUUGUGCCUCUUUUGGUUAAGAAAACUAAAGAAGAAGAAGACGAUGAUUACGUCUCAAUGUGCAGUGGAAUCAUAAGAGCACAGUUAACCAACAAUGCCACAUGGUUAGAGGGAGGUUUCAUUUAGUAAUGUUCUUUAUUAGGGAGACAAUCUCGUUGAAUUUACAGGAAAUUUUGGGUCUACCGUUAAUAAUUCAUGUGUUAUUAUAUGAAUGAACUAAUAUGUCAUAACAUGUAAUUGGAUUGAUAAUAUCACGUGGUGUUGUGAUAGUCGUAUUAAAAACUUUUUUUAAUUGAAAAUGUUUAUCAAAAUAUAAAAUAUAGAACAUUUAGGAUUACAAAUUCAGAAAAAAAAAUAUUUUAAUUUCAUAUAUAUAUAUAUAUAUAUAUAUAAAGAUUGAAAAUAUAUGUGCAACAAAUGUGUUAGCAUUUAAAUUUACAAAAUUCUCAAAUGAUCACUUAAACAGGUAUAUCACAUUCGUCCUGAUUGUUUUAAUUCAUAAAAUGAAUGUCUCAUUCAAGUUGAGAGGGUGUUAUGUGGUCUAUAACUAUUUGAAUAAGUUAAUGUAAUUCUUCUGGAACUUACAUGUAAAUCUUCGUAUUAAUAUCCUCAUGGAGAAACGCAUAAGCACAUUAAUAUGCUGCAAUCAAUCACAAAGCAUUUAAGAGAAGCCAUGCGUCAUAAGAUGUGCAUUCUGACUAUUUCAUUAAUCUCAUUACGCUUCCUUUCUCACUUAUAACAUGAUAGGGUUACCUUGUGCAGUGCAUAAGUGAUAGGUCCAAACACACUUUGAUAAGGAAUCUAAUUUAACAUGGAUUGUCAUUUGACCAAUCGGUUCUAUGUUGUCACUUAAUCAAAGGAACACGGUUCGAUAUCGUUGUUUUUUCAUUUAUGUCAGUAGCUACCAUAUAAGUGAAACAUCAUCUAUGAUAAUCUCAUUCCAAUUUCAUAUCUCACCCAAACAAGUAAAUUGGAUCAAGCAGUUCAUGUCUCGGGAUAAUCCAGAUUAAUCUUAUGAGAUGGACUGGUUGAGAUAGCGAUCAAGUAGGGAUUCAUUUUGUGCCCAUAUUCUUCCUCUUGCAGGGAAGUAAAUCCUACAAAUUGAGUGAUAUGUCAUGCUUCUAGCCAAGGAUAGAUGAUUGGCUAACCACCAUUUGUACCAUGUUGUCCAUACAUGGGUGACAUGCCCUAUCAGGGAUGACAAAUCAUCCUUCAGGGGCGGCACAUCCAUUGAGAGAUGUUAGCUCGACGUUAGUUAGAUACGUCUAUAUUUAUAUUAUAAAACUAAUUAUUGAGAGAGAGAGAGAGUAGAGGAGGUGCGGCUAGAGAAGAGAGAAGGAGAUAAGGGAUUGGGAAUUUUGUGUGUUAUUCCUCAUGCCUAGUACAUCUAUUUAAUCAUGAUGAGCUUUAGUACUUGCCUUACAAGUUAUGCAAGUUGUACAAAGAAAGAAUCUUUUGGAUCCUAUAAAGCCAUCUCCAACCGAUGGUUGGCCAGAUGGCUCGUUUUAGCCCUCUGGCCCUCCAA
rnacentral:lncRNA from 1 species